rnacentral:tRNA from 1 species
ACGUAGUUAGCUUAGUUGGUAGGGCCCUUCACCUGUAAUGGAGAGGUCCCGGGUUCAAUACCCGGACCAGGCG